AUGCUUCCUGAGUUUCCAACAUUAAUGACUCAUCUCAAAAGCCUAUAUAUUGAUCUAUGUCCCAAACUUUUGAGCCUUCCAAGUGACAUGCAUCGUCUCACUGCACUUGAAGAACUUCGCAUUUAUCGUUGUCCUGAGUUGUGCCAAAAAUUACGGCCCCCAUCUGGAGAGUACUGGCCCAUGAUUGGCCGCAUCAAGCGAAUUUCUAUUGGAAAACAUUAA
rnacentral:lncRNA from 1 species